GAGUUUGAUCCUGGCUCAGAUUGAACGCUGGCGGCAUGCCUUACACAUGCAAGUCGAACGGUAGCAGGCCUUCGGGUGCUGUAACGAGUGGGGGACGGGUGACUAAUGCGUAUAGAAUCUGUCUUUUGGAGGGGGACGACCCACGGUAAGCUUGGGCUACUACCGGCAUGAACCCUGAGGGGGAAAGCGGGGGAUCUUCGGACCUCGCGCUAAGGGGGGAGCCUACGUCUGAUUAGCUGCUUGGUAGGGUAAAGGCCUACCAAGGCGACGAUCAGAAGCUGGUCUGAGAGGACAACCAGCCACACUGGGACUGAGACACGGCCCAGACUCCUACGGGAGGCAGCAGUGGGGAAUUUUUCGCAAUGGGGGCAACCCUGUGGAAGAAAAGCGUUUUGGAUGAGUAAGGCCUUCGGGUUGUAAAGUCCUUUCGUGGGGGACGAAAAGGUGGUUCCUACUACGAUCUGCUGUUGACCUGAACCCAUAAAGAAGCACCGGCUAACUCCGUGCCAGCAGCCGCGGUAAUAC
rnacentral:rRNA from 1 species